GGCUUAAGGCAAAUAAGAAUGCUAUGGUGUCUCUAUUUUCCUCUCUCUUGUCUUUGAGGUUGAAGAAAAGAAGUGUGAAAUGAUGGACAUAUAAGAUGGACAAGCAGACACAACUCAGACCCUGAGGGAUCACGAAAAAAGAGCCACUUAAUCAGCAGACUAUAAUAUGAGUGAUAAAUAAAAUUAUUAGAGCUCCUUGGCACAUGACUGAAUUCAUAGCUAAUACAUUUGAUUUUACCUACUUGAGCAAAAUCUCCAGGGAAUAAUGGUCUGGAGGCCAGGAGUCUGAAAUGUAUCCCACUAAUUAAAAGCAAGUGAUUACCAGUUAAGAGAAUGAGAUUCCUACAUUUGGAACCAGUGGGUAAGAAGAA